GUCUACGGAUUCCAGCUCCCCUGCGAUUUUGGAGUGGAUGAAAUCCACUCGACUCUGAUCUUUCACCAACAUUUCGGCUGCCGUCGGAGCGUUUGAAACUUCGUCGCCGCAUGGGCCGUGCCGGUGAAUCACCUCCAGCGAUGACUGCUCUCCCAGACUUGAUGUAUGGACUGCCACAAGCCCACAAACAACCAAAGUAAAUUAAAAUUUCUUUUUCACACUGUUUCUCUAAAGAAUAUAUAUCAAUGGACUAAUCUAGCACUUCCUUAAAAACCAAACCUCCCACGUUAUUAAUUUUUACAAUCUUUUUCAUCACUCACGUCAAACAAAUAUUAAAAUAAGUCUAAAAUGUAAAAAAAAUCUACCUCAUAAUGAAUUCUUAUUGAACAAUGAUGUCUCAUAUUUACUAGUUAUUUUCCUUUUGAAAUUUCUACUCUUGCUUCUACUUCAUUUUUAAUUGCAAUUUGACGUGUGACUACGUUUUUUUCUUUUUAUGAUUGUUGGAGAUACGUAAGUAUGUGAUUGUAGCACAGGCGAGAGGAUUAUAGGAGAUACCUACUAACUCAUACUUCUCUCGUAAUCAAUAGAAUUUAUCUUUUUUAACUCAAAGAAACAAUGGAAACACGAAAAAACUAAGAGACCAAACAACAAAUAGAUGUAAAAAAGAUUUGAAUAGUCAUAUAUGUAAGUAUAGUUCAAAAGAUUGUUUUACUAUAUGCAAAUUUAUGGUUCGGUAAUGAAGGAGAUGGGCAUCCAAAUCUUGCAUUAUUAGAGCAAUAAGUUGCAAAUUGCAUUGAUUUGUUAUGGUUAGGUUUAAAUGGUUUAGUUCAUUUUUUAACAAAAAUAAAAUAUUCAGUAAAUGAAAAAAAAAUCCUAUUUUAUAAGAAAAAUACGGAAUAAUUACAUGAAAAAGAAAAGAGUUAUUUUGGAUAGUUUACUUUUUUUAAAAAAAAAAAAGAAUAGUCACAAGCUAUAGUCAAGUAUAUCAUGAAAUAUGAAAUAAUAAUUUAAAUCUAAGUCUAUUUUUAAUCAUAAUAUUCAAAAAAGAAAAAAGAAAAUAGGUCAAUAAUGGGCCGAGUUCAUAAUAUGGGCCUCGAGAGGCCCACAAGGAGCGGGUUGAUGGUUUCGAAAACGCAAUAAUUAGCGGCGGCUUUAGUUGGAGCUUUAAUUACACCGCCGUAUGAGGUCGCGGAAUAUUUGCAGCCUCUGACGCUGUACGUCUUCGUCUUUUUGUACUUUUGACUCUCUAAGUUAGAGUUUUCCAAUUAUAAAUACAAACAAUUUUUUAAUAUAAAAAAAUUAAUUAUUCUUUCCCCAUCAUUUAUUGACUUGUUUGAAAGUCAUUACUUAAACUCAGACUCAUCUAGUAAUAAUAGAACUCAUUUCAAUAUUUAAUCAUUUUAAGAUCAUUUAAAAAUAUUUAGCAAGAUUUCAAGAGAGAUUUUCUUUCUAAUAAAAAAAUAUGUAUUAUAUGAACUCGUAAAAUUUGGUAAAGAUCUUGAAAAUCUUUUUUUUUUUUGCAAAGAUAAAUAAAUUAUUAUAAAAAAAGGGGGUAAUUAAGUUUCAUAAUUAAGCAAAUAAUUUAAAUAAUGUGGAAUUUUGGGCCCAUUUAUUGACUUUUUAUUGGUUUUUUCUUAUCAACAAAUUGAUUUUUCCCUUUUGCUUUUUAGCCACAAAACCAACAACCCACCGAUGAAAAUUUCUUCAAUAUUGACAAAGAAAAAGCUGAGAGAUAGAGGCAGACAGACAGACCCAAUUGCUCUUUCUCUAUUAUUUUUUUUCUUUCUUCAAAUGACUCAAAAUUGGAAUCUUUCGUUUUCUCCAUUAUCUAUCAUUAAAAAGUGUAUAAAAGAAAUAUUGAGUAUAAAACUAGACAUUUAAGGUUGAAAAAUUAGUCAUGGCUAUUUUCAAUACACGUAAGCAUAUGUUUGACAGAGAAAUUAGUGGUGCUUCCUGCCUAAAUACACUAACAUGACAUCUAAAUAAAAUAAAUGUAUUCAAAAGUAGAACAUUAGAACAAAAGAAAAUUAACCAGCACAAAAACUUAUUGAAUUUCUAUAAAUUUCGUUUAAAAUCCAACUCCCUAAUUUACAGAAAAUCAACAUUUAAUUUGACCAUAUAAUUUUUAAAUAUAUAUAUUUGCCAAAAUAAAAAUUUCCAAUCCAAUAAGUAAAAGAGAGUCUAAGAAAAUUGAGAGGGAAAUUCAAGUAAUAGCAAUGGAAAAUUGUAGAUAGAGAUAGAGAUAGAGAGAGAGACCUUGAGGGGAGCGGCGGGUGCAGGAGGCGGAGGGGAAAAGGCCGGCGAGAUCGACAGUGAGGAAGUGGGAGUCCGGAGAGAGUUUUCCGGCGAAAGCUUGAAAGAAAAGGGAAGAAAAAGCAAAGAAAAGCAUUAUUGAAGAAAGAG
rnacentral:lncRNA from 1 species